GUGGGGAAUAUUGGACAAUGGGCGAAAGCCUGAUCCAGCCAUGCCGCGUGUGUGAAGAAGGUCUUCGGAUUGUAAAGCACUUUAAGUUGGGAGGAAGGGCAGUAAGUUAAUACCUUGCUGUUUUGACGUUACCGACAGAAUAAGCACCGGCUAACUUCGUGCCAGCAGCCGCGGUAAUACGAAGGGUGCAAGCGUUAAUCGGAAUUACUGGGCGUAAAGCGCGCGUAGGUGGUUCAGCAAGUUGGAGGUGAAAUCCCCGGGCUCAACCUGGGAACUGCCUCCAAAACUACUGAGCUAGAGUAAGGUAGAGGGUAGUGGAAUUUCCUGUGUAGCGGUGAAAUGCGUAGAUAUAGGAAGGAACACCAGUGGCGAAGGCGACUACCUGGACUGAUACUGACACUGAGGUGCGAAAGCGUGGGGAGCAAACAGGAUUAGAAACCCGUGUAGUCC
rnacentral:rRNA from 1 species